CAUCAUUGUAACACUUUGACAAAGUGCUCUAGAGAGAGAUAGAGAGGGGAAGAUCAUCCCUUCAGAAGUAAAUAUAGAUAGGUGAAAUUAGGGGGCCAAUGGAGGAUAUUUGGAUUCAAUAAGAAGAAGAAUGAAAAGAGGAAGAAAAGAAGGCACUUCGCUUGUAAUAACAUUAGUGGGACAACCAUUUUACAUCCCGUGUUUUGGAGAUUGUCUUGAUUUAUGAUGUUGGAAAUGAUUGAUUGAGGAUGGAUGUGAUCCAAUUUGUUGAUAUUGGUUGGUUCUAUAUUUCUGAGUUAAUUUUAUUGAACAAGAAGCAACUAUUUAACCUAUUAAAAAAUGGCAGAAAUGGUAAAUUAAUCUAGGAGAUAACAAACUUUGCCCACCUAUACAAAUUCUAGAAGAAGCAUCUAAUGAGAGAAUCUUAUGCUAUGUACAAAAGAUGAUAAAAUGUAAUGGGAUAUGAGUGAAUGGGCUUUCUUGAUUGAUAAUGUUGAUCUGAAUGUUGGGUCAUGAAUAUUGGGUCGAAUUUGAUUGUAGGAACAGGUCCUGCGACUUGUUUCUCUUCAUUCUUCUGAUGAUACUUGACUUAAGGAACAGGUCCUGCGACCUGUUUCUCUUCAUUCUUCUAAUGAGACUUGUCUUUAGAUGAGACUUGACUUAGGUAACAGGUCCAGCGACCUGUUUCUCUUCAUUCUUCAUAUGAGACUUGAAUUUAGGGAUUAAGACCUAGGCCGGGUUUUCAUGACUGCGGCCUGGCCUGAUUUUCAUCAUCAUUCUGGUAGUGGGUGACGGCCCUUUUUUGUACCAAGCUAGUAAAGGUGUAGUGGAUCAAAGGUGAUGAUGUUUUUUAUUCUUUAUUUGGCCUGGCCUGAUUUUCAUCAUCAUUAUGUUUUGUUGGAAUGAGUAUUCCUAAAAAUAUUAAGGAUUUUGUUUUCAGGAGCCAAAGUGGAAACCAAGUUGCUUGGAGGAAGUUGAGGAUAGGGAGGUGGAAGCUCUUUUCGAACCUCUGAGCCCAGAUAUUGGAGAAUUGAAUGUGUGAGCAUAAUGCAUAUCCUGAAUCUUUCCAGCGGGGUAUGCCCUCUUUCACAGAUAAAGAUUGGCCUAAUUGUUGGCGAAUUCGUUCGGCUUGUAACCUCUCACUUAUGUAACUAUAUUAUUACAAUAUAUAUGUUCAAUCACAUAUAUGAUAUGCCAUGCUCUCCGUAAUGUUUUAAGAUUUUUUUUUUCUAUUUAACGGUAAAAUUGAGUAUGAAAAUUCAAAAUCAUCUACUUUCAAAUGUUUUUUGUUACCUUUGUUUUACUAAUUUUAUUGUUUACUGCUUAUAUUUAAGUCGA